GACGAACGCUGGCGGCGUGCUUAACACAUGCAAGUCGAACGGUAAGGCCCUUCGGGGUACACGAGUGGCGAACGGGUGAGUAACACGUGGGUGAUCUGCCCUGCACUUCGGGAUAAGCCUGGGAAACUGGGUCUAAUACCGGAUAGGACUCCGGACUGCAUGGUCUGGGGUGGAAAGCUCUUGCGGUGUGGGAUGGGCCCGCGGCCUAUCAGCUUGUUGGUGGGGUGAUGGCCUACCAAGGCGACGACGGGUAGCCGGCCUGAGAGGGUGACCGGCCACACUGGGACUGGGAUCCGGCCCAGACUCCUACGGGAGGCAGCAGUGGGGAAUAUUGCACAAUGGGCGCAAGCCUGAUGCAGCGACGCCGCGUGAGGGAUGACGGCCUUCGGGUUGUAAACCUCUUUCAGCAUCGACGAAGCGAAAGUGACGGUAGGUGCAGAAGAAGGACCGGCCAACUACGUGCCAGCCGCCGCAGUAA
rnacentral:rRNA from 1 species